rnacentral:rRNA from 1 species
UACGUGGGGGGCAAGCGUUGUCCGGAUUUAUUGGGCGUAAAGAGCGUGUAGGCGGCCAGGCAGGUCCGUUGUGAAAACUCGAGGCUCAACCUCGAGACGUCGAUGGAAACCGUCUGGCUAGAGUCCGGAAGAGGAGAGUGGAAUUCCUGGUGUAGCGGUGAAAUGCGCAGAUAUCAGGAAGAACACCUAUGGCGAAGGCAGCUCUCUGGGACGGUACUGACGCUGAGACGCGAAAGCGUGGGGAGCGAACAGG